rnacentral:rRNA from 1 species
UACGGAGGGAGCGAGCGUUGUCCGAAGUUACUGGGCGUAAAGCGUGCGUAGGCGGCGCGGUAAGUCGGGUGUGAAAUCUCGGAGCUUAACUCCGAAACUGCAUUCGAUACUGCCGUGCUUGAGGACUGGAGAGGAGACUGGAAUUUACGGUGUAGCGGUGAAAUGCGUAGAUAUCGUAAGGAAGACCAGUGGCGAAGGCGGGUCUCUGGACAGUUCCUGACGCUGAGGCACGAAGGUCAGGGGAGCAAACGGG